rnacentral:lncRNA from 1 species
AGAUACUAAGUUAUUGUCACUGUGAAAUACUUUGGACUGAGUUGCUUUUACUCUACAUUUAAAAAAAAAAAAAAAAAAAAAGAUGCCUUAGGAAAAAUGGAAGUGCCAGAAUCAAGUCCUAAGGAUUUUUAUUCAGGACACAAACUGAAGCAUUCCUAGGUGAAAGAGGCUGUCCCGGACUCACUUCUUAGGGAAUCUGGUGGUGGGCGUUGAGGGAGAACAUGGGCGGGGAGUUGGAAAGUGUCCAGGCUGCGUUGCAUUUGGACAAGUGCUUGUUUUGCUACUCUCUUAAAGGCUCAAGGGUGGGAGAAUGCCUUCAUACUAGUGACAGAGCUUCAGAGGAUAAGGCUGGGCUCUCAUGCAGUCGGUGUCAGCAUGCCGCCCAGGGUUACAGUGUCCAGAGAGACACUGAUGAACGUGUUUGCUGGGACUGUGGGUGAAAGAGGAUGCUCACAAGUGGUUCUUACUCUUCCCUUUGAAUGGUAGCAUUUUAUAAUUGCAUUCAGUCCUAAAGGUCGUGCUCUCCUUUAAGUCAGUAUUCACUUAGUUUAGUGAGUGAAGAGUGUUAGAAGAGGAGACAGUUAAAACCAGUCACACUAGGAAGUGAGUUCCAGGGCGUAGAUAUCCACAUAAGCCCAGGCUAAGUCACAACUAGGCACCAUCUUUCUCUGGUUACUCCCUAUAAGCAACAGUGGAAAUCCCACUGGUCCAGUAGUCAGUGUAAGUCAGCAGCCAUCUCUAGCCAGUGGCCAGCAGAUAAAGAGGUUGGCAAAAGGUGCACAGAUGCAGGGAGUGAACAAACCCUUGUAGAAACAAACCAAAACUGACCCCUCUGCACAGGGAGAGUCAACAGCAGGGCAAGCCAUAGAGAGUGGCUUCAAUUCCCUCCAGGGUCCUUAAUCCACAUCAUAUUUCUGUAGCUUCUGCUGCUGCCUGAGCUCAGCUGUUGUGAAGCAGGGCAUCUCUGAGAGCACCACUGGGCCUCUGACAUGCCCAGCCUACAGCUUUUACCCCAUCUGGAACCUUGCCCAUGCUCUUUGCCAUAGUAUGAAAAACAUUUUUCACAUGGUCCUUUCCCUGAAUAGUUCUGACUUGCUAACCAUUCCUGGUUACAAAAUCUAAUCACUGUUCUUUGCAUGUAUAGAGAUUCAAAGAUUACUCCUGCCCUGGCAGGCCGACUCAUACUGUGCUCGUAUUUACCCACAGAUGCCUCGGCAAUACUUAGUCAAAAGAACUUCCGGCGCGAGACCUCAUCUGGGUUGGAAAACAUUUAGGUUUCAGUGUUAUGAGGGAACCACAGCUUGCCAUGCGUUCUUUCAAGCAGUAAAAGACAACUUGGGUCUGGGACUGUGGCACAGGCUUUGCUUGGCAUGAGUUCUGACAUGCAGCAUAUCCCACCCAAUCCCUGUGUUUCUGACAAUGUCACCAACACUCAUGCUGAACUUCACUGAGGCAUUCUCUACAGCUGCUUUUCUACUGACAGGACGCAGUAAACAAUCUUUUUCUCUGUUACAGCUUGUGAAGAUAGUCUGUUCCGAUCUAUCUGGAUUUUCAUCUUGGUUACAAGUGGAUGUAUUUUUAAAAUUUUAAUCUCUGGGUAUUUAUUAAACAUAUAUAUCCAAGGCACUUAUAGAUUUGCAUCUUUUGUUUUGUUUUGUUUGUUUGUUUGUUUGUUUGUUUUUAGACAGGGUUUCUCUGUGUAGCCCUGGCUGUCCUGGAACUCACUCUCUAGACCAGGCUGGCUUGAACUCAGAAAUCUGCCUGCCUCUGCCUCCCAAGAGCUGGGAUCAAAGGCUUACGCUACCACCCCCUGGCUAGAUUUGCAUCUUAAGGAAGAAUUAAAAAUAGAAUUUUGUUACAAGUCACCUCACCUCUCCGGAGUUGCUAUUCGCACCCCCUGCAUGCACUGAGCAGCUCCCCAAUAAUAUCAGAAUGGAGCUAAUGUGCUAUGCAAGUUCAAGUGUUAUGUCUAUUGCAUUUCCUUAAUUUACUGUUUUCUACUAGUUUGGCCAGA